CACGUAGGGUGCGAGCGUUGUCCGGAAUUAUUGGGCGUAAAGAGCUCGUAGGCGGUGUGUCGCGUCGGCCGUGAAAACCUGCAGCUCAACUGUGGGCUUGCGGUCGAUACGGGCAUCACUGGAGUUCGGCAGGGGAGACUGGAAUUCCUGGUGUAGCGGUGAAAUGCGCAGAUAUCUGGAGGAACACCAGUGGCGAAGGCGGCAUCCUGGACCGGCAUUGACGCUGAGGCGCGAAAGCUAGGGUAGCAAACGGG
rnacentral:rRNA from 1 species